rnacentral:rRNA from 1 species
GGUUAAGCGACUAAGCGUACACGGUGGAUGCCCUGGCAGUCAGAGGCGAUGAAGGACGUGCUAAUCUGCGAUAAGCGUCGGUGAGGUGAUAUGAACCGUUAUAACCGGCGAUUUCCGAAUGGGGAAACCCAGUGUGAUUCGUCACACUAUCAUUAACUGAAUCCAUAGGUUAAUGAGGCGAACCGGGGGAACUGAAACAUCUAAGUACCCCGAGGAAAAGAAAUCAACCGAGAUUCCCCCAGUAGCGGCGAGCGAACGGGGAGGAGCCCAGAGCCUGAAUCAGUGUGUGUGUUAGUGGAAGCGUCUGGAAAGGCGUGCGAUACAGGGUGACAGCCCCGUACACAAAAAUGCACAUACUGUGAGCUCGAUGAGUAGGGCGGGACACGUGGUAUCCUGUCUGAAUAUGGGGGGACCAUCCUCCAAGGCUAAAUACUCCUGACUGACCGAUAGUGAACCAGUACCGUGAGGGAAAGGCGAAAAGAACCCCGGCGAGGGGAGUGAAAAAGAACCUGAAACCGUGUACGUACAAGCAGUGGGAGCCUCUUAAUGGGGUGACUGCGUACCUUUUGUAUAAUGGGUCAGCGACUUAUAUUCUGUAGCAAGGUUAACCGAAUAGGGGAGCCGAAGGGAAACCGAGUCUUAACUGGGCGUUAAGUUGCAGGGUAUAGACCCGAAACCCGGUGAUCUAGCCAUGGGCAGGUUGAAGGUUGGGUAACACUAACUGGAGGACCGAACCGACUAAUGUUGAAAAAUUAGCGGAUGACUUGUGGCUGGGGGUGAAAGGCCAAUCAAACCGGGAGAUAGCUGGUUCUCCCCGAAAGCUAUUUAGGUAGCGCCUCGUGAAUUCAUCUCCGGGGGUAGAGCACUGUUUCGGCAAGGGGGUCAUCCCGACUUACCAACCCGAUGCAAACUGCGAAUACCGGAGAAUGUUAUCACGGGAGACACACGGCGGGUGCUAACGUCCGUCGUGAAGAGGGAAACAACCCAGACCGCCAGCUAAGGUCCCAAAGUCAUGGUUAAGUGGGAAACGAUGUGGGAAGGCCCAGACAGCCAGGAUGUUGGCUUAGAAGCAGCCAUCAUUUAAAGAAAGCGUAAUAGCUCACUGGUCGAGUCGGCCUGCGCGGAAGAUGUAACGGGGCUAAACCAUGCACCGAAGCUGCGGCAGCGACACUAUGUGUUGUUGGGUAGGGGAGCGUUCUGUAAGCCUGUGAAGGUGUACUGUGAGGUAUGCUGGAGGUAUCAGAAGUGCGAAUGCUGACAUAAGUAACGAUAAAGCGGGUGAAAAGCCCGCUCGCCGGAAGACCAAGGGUUCCUGUCCAACGUUAAUCGGGGCAGGGUGAGUCGACCCCUAAGGCGAGGCCGAAAGGCGUAGUCGAUGGGAAACAGGUUAAUAUUCCUGUACUUGGUGUUACUGCGAAGGGGGGACGGAGAAGGCUAUGUUGGCCGGGCGACGGUUGUCCCGGUUUAAGCGUGUAGGCUGGUUUUCCAGGCAAAUCCGGAAAAUCAAGGCUGAGGCGUGAUGACGAGGCACUACGGUGCUGAAGCAACAAAUGCCCUGCUUCCAGGAAAAGCCUCUAAGCAUCAGGUAACAUCAAAUCGUACCCCAAACCGACACAGGUGGUCAGGUAGAGAAUACCAAGGCGCUUGAGAGAACUCGGGUGAAGGAACUAGGCAAAAUGGUGCCGUAACUUCGGGAGAAGGCACGCUGAUAUGUAGGUGAAGUCCCUCGCGGAUGGAGCUGAAAUCAGUCGAAGAUACCAGCUGGCUGCAACUGUUUAUUAAAAACACAGCACUGUGCAAACACGAAAGUGGACGUAUACGGUGUGACGCCUGCCCGGUGCCGGAAGGUUAAUUGAUGGGGUUAGCGGUAACGCGAAGCUCUUGAUCGAAGCCCCGGUAAACGGCGGCCGUAACUAUAACGGUCCUAAGGUAGCGAAAUUCCUUGUCGGGUAAGUUCCGACCUGCACGAAUGGCGUAAUGAUGGCCAGGCUGUCUCCACCCGAGACUCAGUGAAAUUGAACUCGCUGUGAAGAUGCAGUGUACCCGCGGCAAGACGGAAAGACCCCGUGAACCUUUACUAUAGCUUGACACUGAACAUUGAGCCUUGAUGUGUAGGAUAGGUGGGAGGCUUUGAAGUGUGGACGCCAGUCUGCAUGGAGCCGGCCUUGAAAUACCACCCUUUAAUGUUUGAUGUUCUAACGUUGGCCCCUGACCGGGGUUGCGGACAGUGUCUGGUGGGUAGUUUGACUGGGGCGGUCUCCUCCUAAAGAGUAACGGAGGAGCACGAAGGUUGGCUAAUCCUGGUCGGACAUCAGGAGGUUAGUGCAAUGGCAUAAGCCAGCUUGACUGCGAGCGUGACGGCGCGAGCAGGUGCGAAAGCAGGUCAUAGUGAUCCGGUGGUUCUGAAUGGAAGGGCCAUCGCUCAACGGAUAAAAGGUACUCCGGGGAUAACAGGCUGAUACCGCCCAAGAGUUCAUAUCGACGGCGGUGUUUGGCACCUCGAUGUCGGCUCAUCACAUCCUGGGGCUGAAGUAGGUCCCAAGGGUAUGGCUGUUCGCCAUUUAAAGUGGUACGCGAGCUGGGUUUAGAACGUCGUGAGACAGUUCGGUCCCUAUCUGCCGUGGGCGCUGGAGAACUGAGGGGGGCUGCUCCUAGUACGAGAGGACCGGAGUGGACGCAUCACUGGUGUUCGGGUUGUCAUGCCAAUGGCACUGCCCGGUAGCUAAAUGCGGAAGAGAUAAGUGCUGAAAGCAUCUAAGCACGAAACUUGCCCCGAGAUGAGUUCUCCCUGACUCCUUGAGAGUCCUGAAGGAACGUUGAAGACGACGACGUUGAUAGGCCGGGUGUGUAAGCGCAGCGAUGCGUUGAGCUAACCGGUACUAAUGAACCGUGAGGCUUAACCUU